rnacentral:lncRNA from 1 species
GAAGGGUACAAUUGAUACUGCUGAAAUAAGAUUUUAUUAAAAAGAAAAGAAACAACAAUGGAGAACCAAAAACCCUUGAAAGCACAAAGCUGCAGACUAAGGGCCGAGCCUCGUUAAAACCUCAUAAUAGCUGAGGAAAAAGAGUACUCGUCAAGGACCAAGGUUGACAGAGCUGAGUUAGGAGGUCUCAAGGAUUCCGGCCGAACCAUUACCCUUAGGCCUCCCGGCUCACAACCGAUCCAGAACGAAGAGAAAAAAAAAACCAAAAAAUCAAGCGAAACGAGAAAAAUAGGGAAUAGAAACAUCCUCCUUGACAAAAUCAUUUAAACCAGCAAUGGCAUGAGGCCAAAAACCCUCCUCCGAAGCUUGAGAAGCUAAAAAAUCCGCCGAUCUGUUGCCCUCACGAAAAAUGUGAGAAAUGCGCCACGUGAAAGAAUGGAGUUUGGAGAGAGCAAGCUGCCACCGAGGCUUGAAU